GAGAUUCAAAACAAACCCCGAUCGAUUCGCCAUAUUUGACAACUUAAGCGGCAUUUAUCACUCGAAAAUCCGUAAACAAAUCCUUACAGAUUUCGAUGCGUUUACAAUCACGUUUCUUAAUGAAAACGGAAUAAAUAACCAUCCGUGGUGGCCGUUCUUACAGCAUGAAAAUGUCGCGGUAUAGUUCAGAUUGUAAAGUUUACGUCGGCGAUCUCGGCAAUAACGCUUCCAAACAAGAAUUGGAGGAUGCUUUUGGGUACUACGGUCCACUCCGUAACGUUUGGGUGGCUCGUAACCCACCGGGAUUUGCUUUCGUUGAAUUCGAAGAUCCGAGAGAUGCCGAAGACGCUAUUAGAGGUUUAGACGGUAGAACGAUUUGUGGUAGACGAGCACGAGUUGAGAUGUCUAAUGGAAAAACUGGUGGUGGUGGACGUUACCGUGGGCCUCCUCCGAGAUCGAGGGGACGUCCUUUUCACCCGGAUGAUCGUUGCUAUGAAUGUGGGGAUCGUGGGCAUUACGCAAGAGAUUGUAAUAGAUAUAGACGAGGACGACGCAGGUAUAGUCUGUGGGCGGUAGUCAGGUAACACACGGUGUGAAUAUGAGUUUGGGGUGACCUCUAAGAGUCUCUCGUACCUACAUCUUCUACUACGUAGUACAGCUCUGCUAGUGCGUGCGUUAUCGUCCCCGGAGACACUCCUCGGCUGCUACCGCCACACGUCUCGGCACCUCUCCCGGCGGCGUACAAACACACACAAAAAAUAGGGCUUGGGUUUACAAAAAAAAUUUUCCAAAAAAAAGUGUCGUAAGGGAGAGAGAAAAUAAGAAUAAGAAGCAAGCCAACGGCAUCGCCCCAUGCAGACCUCGGCAGCCCGCGUCAUAACCAAUUGAAAUUUGCAAAACCGUUUUCGGCCAGUCUCGCUCUGCUAUACGUCAGUCCGUACUUCUUGACUUCUUCUUAGUAAUCUACUAGAGAACCACGAUCGUCGCGGUCUCGGGAUGCUUCUAGCACACAACGUUUGCUCUCUGUGACAGACCGACAACGAACGGUCUAGGUCCAGAUCGAGAAGCCGUUCGAGGGAUCGUCGAAGCCGAUCAAGAAGCGCGUCCAGAUCGAGGAGCCGCUCUCGCAAUCGUUCUAGGUCGAGAUCGGGUUCGGGAAAGCGAAGCCGAUCUAGGAGCGCGGACAGAAACAGCGCGUCCAGGUCGAGAAGCCGAUCG